UUAUCACAACUAGUCGCAAUUAAUAUACAUUUUAGAACAGACGAGACAAUACCUUUCUGAAAUGUUUCACCGCCUAUCAAUAUGUUUAUUCCUAAUCUUAGUUGGAUAUACUUUUGGCGUGAAUUUCCUAUACAACUGUCGAGAACUACGUGAUAAAACUACCCUCAAAAAUAAUAUGCAACUAGAUAUCAAGAAACUGGCGUUUUGGAAAAAAUAUUUCGGUUUUACCUGUGAUUUUGAUACUGUACCUACUGAUCACAGUGAUGAUGAUGUGAUAUGAGAAGUUUCUGCAUAUAUACAAGUGCAACGUCUCAACGGGCAUAAUUUAAUCUGUCAUUAAAAAUGUAUUUUACUAAA